CUCCGGCCGCUUGCUCGCGCUGACAGUUGACAGUUGGAGCCGGCGGUUGGCGAUCGGGCAGCGGCGCGCGGGCAGGGGGUCAGUAAAGGCCAAAGCAGCCGAGGGCAAGGCAGCGCCGAGCCGCCGACCCACGCUCGGCCAGCAUUCUCCAUAAUUUUAAUUCAGGAUGAAAGCGACCUAUGGUUCCCGUGCAUGCCCGCCGCCACUGCCGCUGUGUGAGUGAGGAGAUAUGUACAUGUCAACUGAAGACCCACUGUGUGACCGGUGAAUGGCUCUCUGGUUAAGAGCAGGUUUAUACUGCGGUGGUUUCAGAGGGAAAGUGUUCCUGCUGUGGACAUUGUGCCGCCCAUUCGUACCUUCCUGGGCCUCGGCCUGGCUCUGAAUGAUGUAGGUGUCCAGCACCCGAGAUUCCAGAUCCUUGCCUUUCUCAGGCGCCGUCACAAGUCUGCUUACUUCAUUGUCCUACGCAGAACAAAAAUAAAUGGCUGCCUGAGUUACUC